AGUGAACGCUGGCGGUAGGCCUAACACAUGCAAGUCGAACGGCAGCACAGUAAGAGCUUGCUCUUACGGGUGGCGAGUGGCGGACGGGUGAGGAAUACAUCGGAAUCUACUUUUUCGUGGGGGAUAACGUAGGGAAACUUACGCUAAUACCGCAUACGACCUACGGGUGAAAGCAGGGGAUCUUCGGACCUUGCGCGAUUGAAUGAGCCGAUGUCGGAUUAGCUAGUUGGCGGGGUAAAGGCCCACCAAGGCGACGAUCCGUAGCUGGCCUGAGAGGAUGAUCAGCCACACUGGAACUGAGACACGGUCCAGACUCCUACGGGAGGCAGCAGUGGGGAAUAUUGCACAAUGGGCGCAAGCCUGAUCCAGCAAUACCGCGUGGGUGAAGAAGGUCUUCGGGUUGUAAAGCCCUGUUGUUGGGAAAGAAAAGCAGCAGGUUAAUACCCCGCUGUUCUGACGGUACCCAAAGAAUAAGCACCGGCUAACUUCGUG
rnacentral:rRNA from 1 species